rnacentral:rRNA from 1 species
UUAAAGUUGUUGCAGUUAAAAAGCUCGUAGUUGAACUUCAGGCCCGACGGGGUGGUCUGCCUCACGGUAUGUACUAUCCGGUUGGGCCUUACCUCCUGGUGAGCCCGUAUGUCGUUUACUCGGUGUGCGGGGGAACCAGGAAUUUUACUUUGAAAAAAUUAGAGUGUUCAAAGCAGGCAUAUGCCCGAAUACAUUAGCAUGGAAUAAUA